rnacentral:rRNA from 1 species
ACUGACAAGUCGAGCAGGUACGAAAGUAGGACAUAGUGAUCCGGUGGUUCUGUAUGGAAGGGCCAUCGCUCAACGGAUAAAAGGUACUCUGGGGAUAACAGGCUGAUUCCUCCCAAGAGUUCAUAUCGACGGGGGAGUUUGGCACCUCGAUGUCGGCUCAUCACAUCCUGGGGCUGUAGCCGGUCCCAAGGGUAUGGCUGUUCGCCAUUUAAAGUGGUACGUGAGCUGGGUUUAAAACGUCGUGAGACAGUUUGGUCCCUAUCUGCCGUGGGCGUUGGAAAUUUGAAGGGGGCGGCUCCUAGUACGAGAGGACCGGAGUGGACAGACCUCUGGUGUACCGGUUGUCACGCCAGUGGCAUUGCCGGGUAGCUAAGUCUGGAAGCGAUAACCGCUGAAAGCAUCUAAGCGGGAAACUUGCCUUGAGAUCAGAUUUCCCAGAGACUUGAGCUCUUUAAA